GGAACACUGACACUGGAGCGCGCGUGCACGAGAGGACUCCAUUUUUUUCUUUCUCUCUUUGAACGAAUACAACGUUGCCCGGUUGGAAUAUUAUCGCUAUUUUACAAGAAAAAUCGCAUAAAAAAUUGAUUUUAAACAGCGGUUGACAUGCUUCGAAGUAUGGUAAUAGAAUAUUUUGAAUAUUUUUUUCACGAAAUGCGCCCGCGCGUCACCCUUCGGAUACUGACCUCAACGCACGAACAAAACGGAGCUAUUUCUAUAUAACUAUGGAUUAUUUCGAACCAAAACAACAUUUGUUGUUGAAGUAGAAGUCCUGGGAGUGCAUUUUGAUGAAGAACAGCAAAGAAAUCGGCGGCCUGGUGCCUUUAAAACAGAUUCUCCAGAGGCUAAAGACAGCCGUUACAGAAUUACCCAC
rnacentral:lncRNA from 1 species